GGGCUCGUAGCUUAGCCUGGGAGAGCACUACGCUGAAGCCGUAGGUAUCGGCGGUUCAAAUCCGCCCGAGCCCA
rnacentral:tRNA from 1 species